GCGCUGCCUGCCGGGAUAGGCGCGGGCGGGCGGCGCGGUGCACCCUGGGUAGCAGGUCACCAUGGCGGCCCGUGUCCUCUCGGCCUGCGCCCGCCGCCUCCUGCCGCGGCGGCCCCCGGCGGCGGCGCCGCGCCCCGCCGCGCUCGGCUCCCUCCGCCCCGGCCGCGCGCCGGCCCCGCCGCGCUCGGUCCCGCUGCCGCAGGUGGCCGUGACGGCGGGGCCGCUCUGUCGCCGCUUCUCCGACCUGCCGCCCCUGACCUUGGAGGGCAUCAAGGACCGCGUCCUCUACGUCCUCAAGCUGUACGACAAGAUCGACCCGAACAAGCUCACAGCUGAAUCCCAUUUCAUGAAAGAUCUGGGUUUGGACAGUUUGGACCAAGUGGAAAUCAUCAUGGCUAUGGAAGACGAGUUUGGAUUUGAAAUUCCUGAUGCAGAUGCAGAAAAGUUAAUGUGUCCACAGGAGAUUGUAGAUUACAUUGCAGAUAAGAAGGAUGUUUAUGAAUAAAAACAGUUCUUCAAAGCAAAGAUUGAAGCAUGACAGGUCAGUGGGGGAGCUAUGUCCAUUUGCUGCUAUCUCUGUGCCAAGAAUAGAUGGAAUAAAGGAGAUGUCUGUACCACUACGACCAGGCUGAUGUCAGCGGAUAUGAAUAUAAGCGCACAUGCUGUACUGUUGCUGCUUUCGUUGGAAAGUUGUACUGGAAAGUUGUGUUGGACAUUUUAUUUAAAGCUGUCUGAAUAUGUUGGCCUUUAAAAACAGGGGAAAAAGGAAUAAAUAUAUAAGACCA